rnacentral:lncRNA from 1 species
UUGGCUGCUCAGAUGAGGGAACUUCAAGCCAAAAUGGACGAUUGUAGGGCGAGGAUGGCUGCUAAAAAGCGCAACGCCUCUCAGGGGAUUGAGCGAACUAAAUCCUUGGUCGAACAGUACAAGAAGUUGGAGGUUGAUGAUGAUGACGUUGCGGCUGAAUUGAACAUUACUUCCUCCCGACAGAACGAGGAUUGGGAAAAACUUAGGGAACGAAUUCGUUCCUUAUGGGGUAGACUGUAAUUAAGACAUACGAU